UGCCAGCCGCCGCGGUAAUACGGAAGGUGCGAGCGUUAAUCGGAAUUACUGGGCGUAAAGCGCACGUAGGUGGCUUGGUAAGUCGGAUGUGAAAGCCCUGGGCUCAACCGAGGAAUUGCGUUUGAUACUGCUUUGCUAGAGUCUCGGAGAGGUUGGCGGAAUUCCAGGUGUAGGAGUGAAAUCCGUAGAUAUCUGGAGGAACACCAGUGGCGAAGGCGGCUAACUGGCUCGGUACUGACGCUGAGAUGCGAAAGCGUGGGGAGCAAACAGGAUUAGAUA
rnacentral:rRNA from 1 species